rnacentral:rRNA from 2 species
AAAACGACUCUCGGCAACGGAUAUCUCGGCUCUCGCAUCGAUGAAGAACGUAGCAAACUGCGAUACUUGGUGUGAAUUGCAGAAUCCCGUGAAUCAUCGAGUCUUUGAACGCAAGUUGCGCCCAAAGCCGUCAGGCCGAGGGCACGUCUGCCUGGGCGUCACGA